AAGUCGUAACAAGGUUUCCGUAGGUGAACCUGCGGAAGGAUCAUUAACAAAGUUGCUACUCGGUAGCUCUUUGAAAUCAACCCUUGUGCAUUGUACGUAUCCUUGAUGUAGGUGGUCUCUGGGAAGAAUCUGUCUGCGGGCAGUGCCUUCCCAGAGAUCCCCGUCAUACACCUGUCUGAACCAUGUCCACUCAUUGUUUUGGUGAAUACACAAUAACUUUUGACAACGGAUCUCUUGGCUCUC
rnacentral:misc_RNA from 1 species